rnacentral:rRNA from 1 species
UCCUGGGGCUGAAGUAGGUCCCAAGGGUAUGGCUGUUCGCCAUUUAAAGUGGUACGCGAGCUGGGUUUAGAACGUCGUGAGACAGUUCGGUCCCUAUCUGCCGUGGGCGCUGGAGAACUGAGGGGGGCUGCUCCUAGUACGAGAGGACCGGAGUGGACGCAUCACUGGUGUUCGGGUUGUCAUGCCAAUGGCACUGCCCGGUAGCUAAAUGCGGAAGAGAUAAGUGCUGAAAGCAUCUAAGCACGAAACUUGCCCCGAGAUGAGUUCUCCCUGACUCCUUGAGAGUCCUGAAGGAACGUUGAAGACGACGACGUUGAUAGGCCGGGUGUGUAAGCGCAGCGAUGCGUUGAGCUAACCGGUACUAAUGAACCGUGAGGCUUAACCUU